rnacentral:pre_miRNA from 1 species
AUGUAGGGCAAUCAGUCUUUAAAAAGGGGUAAGUUACUUUUAAAAGAAAAAAGAAUCCUAGAUAGUUUUCUCUUCAAGACAAACAUUUUGU